rnacentral:rRNA from 1 species
UUGGAGGGCAAGUCUGGUGCCAGCAGCCGCGGUAAUUCCAGCUCCAAUAGCGUAUAUUAAAGUUGUUGCAGUUAAAAAGCUCGUAGUUGAAUUUCGGGGUUUAUACGUUGGUCGGGCUUUUGGGUCUGUACUGGCGUAAUGAAUUCCUACCUUCUGAAUAACCAGCAUGUCAUUAAUUUGAUGCGCCGGGGAAGCAGGACUGUUACCUUGAAAAAAUUAGAGUGCUUAAAGCAGGCUAUUGCCUGAAUACAUUAGCAUGGAAUAAUGAAAUAGGACGGCAUGGUUCUAUUUUGUUGGUUUCUAGGAUCACCGUAAUGAUUAAUAGGGAUAGUUGGGGGCAUUAGUAUUCGAUUGUCAGAGGUGGAAUUCUUGGAUUUAUUGAAGACUAACUUCUGCGAAAGCAUUCGCCAAGGAUGUUUUCAUUAAUCAAGAACGAAAGUUAGGGGAUCGAAGACGAUCAGAUACCGUCGUAGUCCUAACCAUAAACUAUGCCGACUAGGGAUCGGACGAUGUUAGUUUUUUAAUGACCCGUUCGGCGCCUUACGGGAAAC